CAGUAGCCGCGGGAAUACAGAGGGUGCGAGCGUUAAUCGGAUUUACUGGGCGUAAAGCGUGCGUAGGCGGCUAAUUGAGUCGGAUGUGAAAUCCCCGAGCUUAACUUGGGAAUUGCAUUCGAUACUGGUUAGCUAGAGUGUGGGAGAGGAUGGUAGAAUUCCAGGUGUAGCGGUGAAAUGCGUAGAGAUCUGGAGGAAUACCGAUGGCGAAGGCAGCCAUCUGGCCUAACACUGACGCUGAGGUACGAAAGCAUGGGGAGCAAACAGGAUUAGAUACCCGAGUAGUCCCUGUCACUUAUAC
rnacentral:rRNA from 1 species